GGGGGCGGUAGACAGAAAGGGUAGGGACACAGAGAGCAGAAAGAGAGAGGGGGAGGGGGGGUGAGGGGUAGAGAGAGGGGCGGUAGACAGAAAGGGUAGGGACACAGAGAGCAGAAAGAGAGAGAGGGGGGGGUGAGGGGGGUAGAGGGGGGCGGUAGACAGAAAGGGUAGGGACACAGAGAGCAGAAAGAGAGAGGGGGGUGAGGGGUAGAGAGAGGGGCGGUAGACAGAAAGGGUAGGGACACAGAGAGCAGAAAGAGAGAGAGGGGGUGAGGGGUAGAGAGGGGGCGGUAGACAGAAAGGGUAGGGACACAGAGAGCAGAAAGAGAGAGAGAGGGGGGGUGAGGGGUAGAGAGGGGGGCGGUAGACAGAAAGGGUAGGGACACAGAGAGCAGAAAGAGAGAGAGAAAGAUCCAG
ensembl:lncRNA